rnacentral:ncRNA from 2 species
UAUUACCUUAAAGCGCCGGGACCCCUUUUGGGGUUGACGAGGUGGAGGUUUAUCGAGGUAUCGGCGGAUGCCUCCCGGCUUUUCGCGGCCGUUAAAGGCGUCGGACAAAACCGAAGAGCAAUCUUCGGGACAAAGGGCGCCGGGCGAAUAA